GCUGGAGGAGUGCCUGGCGGGUGGUAAGUGCUCCAUGAGUUCCCAUGCAACUGUUCACUUCCUCAUCCCGGCAUCUUGCCUCCCCAUCCACCACAGUGCACUAGUUCUUCAUGGAUCAUUGUUGCUCACUUCUUUUGCCCAGAAAAUAGCUUCAGAGUUCCCUCCCCUCUCUUUCUCUCUUCUUCCUUUACUCAUUCCCCCUUCCCCUAUCUCUUUCUCAGUAACCUUUGCAGGUUUCUCUGAUUCUGUCCAUUCCCUAACCAGGGUGCACUGGUGCAAGUCCUGGAGGCCAAGGCCAGAGAACCUGGAGUUCUGAGGUUCAAGGGCUGGAGAAGAAUGGCGUCCUUGCCCUGGAAAAGAGAGAGAUAAUUCUUUACUCUGCCUUUUUGUUCUAUUUGGGCACUUAGCUGAUUGGAUGGUGUCCAUCCACACUGGGUGAGGGUGGGUCUUCUUUACCCAGUCCACUAAUCCAAACAUCGGUAUCUUCCGGAAACACCCUCACAGACAUUUCCAGAAGUAAUGCUUUACCAGCCAUGUGUGUGUGUCUCCUAAACCAUCAAGCUGACACGUAAAACUGACCAUCACAAUCCCCACACUGCAUUUCCCCAGGACCCCAGUCUCCCCAGUGCUAGCUUUUGUAUCCUUUCCAUUGUUGGCAAAGUGGUCUUUCUAACAAGACUAAGUCCUAUGGCAUUUCUCUGCCUAGAGGCCUUUCCAAGAGCUCCCUAGAUCCAGUCCCAAACUCCUCAUGAGGCCGCAGGCCCUGUGACCCGGCCACUGUAUCCAUUGUUGCCUCUUUCUUGUCCCUCUGCCACCUGCUCCACAUUUCCUGACUACAGCUGCUCUUUCACCUCUAUGCUUGUUCAAGAGCUGCCUGAAAAUGAUCCGUCUCCUCGUUGUGCACUACACAAACUGGUUUUCAUUCAUCUGGAUUCAGAUGUAAGACGAUUUUCUCUGUGAAGCCUCCCAUCUUAUAUCUGGAAAGAAAUGAACACUGGUAGGGGUAUGAAUUUCAUUGAGAGAUUGGGACGUCCUUGUGGGUAGAGGCCAUGUCUUAUUCAUCUUUGUGUCUCAUUCCUCCCCUGUUACUUUUUUAACAGAUGAAGGAACAUUUAUUUUGCAUAUAAGGAAACUGAAGUGCAGGAAACAAAUGUCACAAACUCAAGGUCAUGUUACUAAAAAGAGUCUCUGCUGCUGUGGGUCCUGGACCUCUUCUUCACUCUAGUUCUUUCAAAUUACAAAAAAAGAAAGGUGCCUUAGUCCAGGGCCUGCCCGUGCUGGACAUAACAUGGCUAGAUUCUCCCAACCCUCUGGGAGGCUGCAGCAGUGGCACAGGCUGGCUUCGGGGCAGGCAACAGGACAGUCAUACGGGGCCUUUCUGAGAAGGGCCCCACACUAGGUUUAACGUUCUGCUGUGACCAACUUGAAAUUCUUUCUAAUUUUUCUUUGAGCUUGUGAUUUGUAAAUGAAGUCUGAUGGGGCCUUUGCUGGAGCAGAGGAGGUAGGCUGGGCCUGCACAGCGGGCAGCAGGCUGGGCUGCCCAGCUCACAACGGUGACGCUGCAGUGUCUGGGCCUCAGGAGACAAGAGGGGCUCUGCGUGCAGGCAGCACCAGGAGGCUUCCCUGACCUUUUCAAUGUUCUGUUGUGUUGUGAUUAGAUAGCAUCACCUUUUCCUCAUUACAUUUCAUGAGUAAUAAAAUGCCUUCAAAUGAUAAUCUUUAUAGCUUUUAUUUGUAGCUGCAUUUAUUUUCCUGCUUUUUGAACAAGGAGCCCUAUUUUCACAUUUCUCUGGGCCCCACAAAUUAUGUGGUCUUCCCUGUAGAUGGGACGUGAAAGACAGUGAAGUAUUUUAAAUUAAAACACAUAGGACUGAGCAGCUGGGAAUUCAGAAGAUAAUAUGAAAUGCAGAGCGAUUUGGCAGAGGUUAGAUGGAAUUAAGGAAGAGAAGUACAAUUUAGGUGAGUGUGGCAAGGAAAAGCCAGUUCUAUUCAAUAGUUAUUGAUACAAUUUUAGCGGUAGUGAUAGAGAAGGAAAUCAAUUUUAGAACUGCGGGGUCAGCAAACAGCCUAUGAAGUGAAAGGAAAAGUGAGUUUUAAAGAGACCCUACUGUGUGACCCAAGGUGUGGCAAAAUAGGUUUUUCUGACUUGAUUUGAUUUAACUGAAUGAUGCCUAGAAGAUAGAAAAAAUGGGUUGUCAAUAGCAAGAGAUACUUUCAAUAACAAGAGAAAUUUGAAAAAUAAAAAAGAAUGGUGUUUCUUUUUUCAAAGAUGUGUUGCUGACUAAAGAAAUGGAGAGCUGAGGAAAGAAAAAAAAUAUUUUUUGCAUGUUUGCCAAAUAUUUGAAUAUUUAUUUCAUCAAAGCAUCUUAAAAGAUUUCUAAGGAUAGAUACAGAUAGAUACAGAUAAAGAUACAAAUAUAAAUAUAGAUAUACAUACAUGUCUGCACACACAUAUAAAUAUAUAAUUAAAAAUAAAUAAAUCAAAGACAUACUGUCAGCUCUCUGUAUCUAUCAGUUCUGCAUCUGUAGAUUCAACCAAUGGUGGAUUAAAAAUACUCAAGAAAAC
rnacentral:lncRNA from 1 species